GAUGAACGCUGGCGGCGUGCUUAACACAUGCAAGUCGAACGGAAAGGCCGAAGCUUGCUUCGGUACUCGAGUGGCGAACGGGUGAGUAACACGUGGGUGAUCUGCCCUGUACUUCGGGAUAAGCUUGGGAAACUGGGUCUAAUACCGGAUAUGACAAUCUCUUGGAUGGGGUUGUGGAAAGCUUUUGCGGUAUGGGAUGAGCUCGCGGCCUAUCAGCUCGUUGGUGGGGUAAUGGCCUACCAAGGCGUCGACGGGUAGCCGGCCUGAGAGGGUGUACGGCCACAUUGGGCCUGAGGUACGGCCCAGACUCCUACGGGCGGCAGCAGUGGGGAAUAUUGCACAAUGGGCGCAAGCCUGAUGCAGCGACGCCGCGUGGGGGAUGACGGCCUUCGGGUUGUAAACUCCUUUCGCAACCGACGAAGCUUUUGUGACGGUAGGUUGAGAAGAAGCACCGGCUAACUACGUG
rnacentral:rRNA from 1 species